CGUGUAGGCGGUCUAUCGAGUCAGGCGUGAAAGCCCCGGGCUUAACCUGGGAACUGCGUGUGAUACUGAUAGACUAGAGGUUGGAAGAGGAGAGUGGAAUUCCCAGUGUAGAGGUGAAAUUCGUAGAUAUUGGGAAGAACACCAGUGGCGAAGGCGGCUCUCUGGUCCAUACCUGACGCUGAGGCGCGAAAGCGUGGGGAGCAAACAGGAUUAGAUACCCUGGUAGUCC
rnacentral:rRNA from 1 species